GCAGUUGUUCCAUUUUGUUCGAAAAAAGAUGGAUGGUUAUUUUGGUCAACUUGUGUUCAUGCAAUGAAAGCUACCUAUAAUAAUUUUUCAAUCAUUGACUCAUGCAACAAACUUAGACUUAAAAGAGUUAAAGUAACUGGAGAUAAAGAAGUAUGUGCAGGAUUUAAUUUAACAACUAAAGAGGACUCCGAAGAAGAAUGUAAGUAAUUAUGUUUGUAAAUAAUUUUGUUUCUCUUCGGAUUUAACUUUUCUUCGUUUUUUAUAUAUUAA